UACGUAGGGUGCAAGCGUUGUCCGGAAUUAUUGGGCGUAAAGAGCUUGUAGGCGGUUUGUCGCGUCUGCUGUGAAAUUUCGGGGCUCAACCCCGAACUUGCAGUGGGUACGGGCAGACUAGAGUGUGGUAGGGGAGACUGGAAUUCCUGGUGUAGUGGUGAAAUGCGCAGAUAUCAGGAGGAACACCGAUGGCGAAGGCAGGUCUCUGGGCCAUAACUGACGCUGAGAAGCGAAAGCAUGGGGAGCGAACAGG
rnacentral:rRNA from 1 species